rnacentral:rRNA from 1 species
GAUGAACGCUAGCGGCAGGCCUAAUACAUGCAAGCCGAACGGCAAGAUUGAUAGCAAUAUUGAUCCUAGAGUGGCGUAAGGGUGCGUAACACGUAUGCAAUCUACCCUCAACAGGAGGAUAGCUCCCCGAAAGGGGAAUUAAGACUCCAUAAGAUCAUUUGGUGGCAUCAUUGAAUGAUUAAACUUCCAGGGGUUGAGGAUGAGCAUGCGCCNGAUUAGUUAGUUGGCGGGGUAAGGGCCCACCAAGACGAUGAUCAGUAGGGGAACUGAGAGGUUGAUCCCCCANACUGGCACUGAGAUACGGGCCAGACUCCUACGGGAGCAGCAGUAGGGAAUAUUGGACAAUGGGUNCAAGCCUGGUCCAGCCAUGCCGCGUGCAGGAAGAAAGCCUUCU